UGUCCUGCUGGGCUAUUAAUGUUGCAUCAAUACUAGGGUACUUUGGUACUUUUGCGCCGACUACUUUCUCCGAUGUUAAAACCUUCCCCUAAAUUCUCCCCGCUCUCUGUCUCUAUUGGCACGCGCUUCUUCAUCGUCUCUUUAGUUACUAUGUGGAAGCUCUGCAACACCUGCGCUUUGAUGGCAUGUGUAGUGUACUUAUGGCAUUAACUGUUAACCCUUGAAGCCAGUUCACUUUUGCUCUCCUUGUUUCUACUAAUUUGAUUUUUAACCUCAGGGUUGUAUUAGACAGUUUACCGGACUGCUUAGCUGUGACCACCCAAUAAAUUUUGUAACAUGCUCUGUUUCGCUUUUUGGUCGCCGCUUUUCUCCUAAUCAUCUCUCUGCCCGCUUUCUGAUAGGAGAAGGAGGGGACAAAAAGCUGCAACGAAAGAGAAAGAGUGAACUUAUAUGUAAAAAGAGAGCUUCAACAAAGAAAACAAUCCAGACACUAUAAGAACUGCUGACACUUAUCUUACAUCCGGUACUACCAAAAGACAUGCACAACAAACUUAGCACUAUAUAGCCAUCUCUUUCUCCAUUGUGCUUUCACUUUCCAACUAUGGAAUCUAUUUUUGGCCCUGGUAAAUUUGAAAUGGAUAAUGCCGGGAAACACAUGUGAUCUACUGAAAGCUUGGAACUAUGCUGGUAAAAUGGUCAGUCAGAAAAAAUGGUGGAGGAUUAUCCCAGCUUGCAUCUGGUGGACCAUAUGGAAGGAAAGAAAUAACAGAUGUUUUGAAGACAGGAGUAGCUCCAUACAAGUAGUUAAAAUGAAUUGUAUUUUAAAUUUUCACUUUUGGUGUAAACAGUUUUCUGUAGGAGAUGCAGAAUCUAUUCUACAAUUUUUGGAAGCCUUGUAAAGUUCACAAGGAUAGUACCUUGUAAAUACUGUUGCCAGCAUAUUCUUGUGCUGAUGAAUAAAAUUUGUUACCAU